rnacentral:rRNA from 1 species
CACGUAGGGUGCGAGCGUUGUCCGGAAUUAUUGGGCGUAAAGAGCUCGUAGGCGGUGUGUCGCGUCGGCCGUGAAAACCUGCAGCUUAACUGUGGGCUUGCGGUCGAUACGGGCAUCACUGGAGUUCGGCAGGGGGAGACUGGAAUUCCUGGUGUAGCGGUGAAAUGCGCAGAUAUCAGGAGGGAACACCGGUGGGCGAAGGCGGGUCUCUGGGCCGAU